rnacentral:tRNA from 1 species
GGGGAUGUAGCUCUAUGGUAGAGCACUUGCCUAGCAAAUAUGAGAGGCCUGGGUUCAAUCUCAGUAUGGCCA